rnacentral:lncRNA from 1 species
CUCACUGAAAGGAGCAGUGCAUGUAUUUUCUCUUCAUGUCUUCAUGUGGCAAAAGACUACCUGCCAGGUCCGCUCAUGGCUUUGACUCCUGAGCAGAGCCUCCUUCUCUCUGCCAGCUGUGCUGCCCCUCUUUGAGGCUGGAGGCGCUGAGCACAGCAGGUGGAAGUUACUGUUACUGUAGCUGGUCAUUGAAUGGACUUCAUGUAUUUUGCAUUAUUUCUGUCAGGUAAACAUCUCUAACGUGCCCAGAAGUGAUGCUGAUAGCAUUCUUGAGAUGUGCAAGCCUCUUCCAUGGAGCACUGAGGAGAAGCCUGGAAACAGAGGUGACUGCACACAGCUCAGACACCUAAGCUGAAAAGUGGCAGAGACACUACUUCUGGGACUUGCUGUCUUACUCCAAGACCCUUUCUGGAAACUGGAGUGGUCCAUACAGAAAAUUACAAGGGUCUAGAAGAAUACAAAUGAUAGCCAGCAGGGAGGAGGGUGCAAAACAAUCUAAAACCUGCUUGAGAACAAGAUACAUCCAACACAUUUCUUCAGAAGUUCAGAAGAGGCCCCUGCUUGCCCCUGCCGGUUCUGUACAGACAGUGCCACACAGCAGGACGGGAGCAGG